AACCUGCAAAGAGACGCUGUCUUUUGCUGCUUCGGGAUCCCAGCAAGAAAUGGGAGUCUGAUGGAUUGUAAAUGCACCUGCUUGGUUUAAAGCCCAGCCAAACAGAUAAGUGCUCUUUUAAUUAUCUCAGAACAGUGUUUUAGGCACAGCUGUGCACAGCAUCUCUCUUCAGUUUCAAUUCGGUGAGCCUCUGUGUUUCACCCCUGCAAAUGAAUGCUGUGUGGUUCUCAUUUCAGCUGAGAAAUACCAGAUGAUAUUGGUAUUUCACGUUAAGAUAAUUAAUUGGUGUCUGAGAGAACUGCAGCUGAGGGGUUGGGAAGCUCCCAGGGGUCUUUCCCUGCUCCUCCAGAGCCACUGUCUCCAGCAGCCCUGUGAGGUUUUGGGACUCUGAGGAGCAGCUCUGUGGGACCAGACGAGGCUGAUGUGACCCAUCUGAGCCUUAAGGACUCCUCCGGGACUCAUUAGGGGUUUAAUAACUAAACUUGGCUGGUUUGACUGGGAAGAUGCGUGUGCAGGCUUGGCAUGAUCUCAGAGAAACCAGCUCAUGCUGCUGGCAGGAGAGAGGGCUUUCUGCAUGUGCUAGACAUAUGUGUGCAGAGAAAGUGAUAACCCCCACUUCCUCCUGCCGGUCUCCAGGUGGGAAAAUAGCUGGGGAUGGGGGAGAAAAGCCUUUGGUUAUACUGAGUUUACACAGGGCAUGCAAAUAAGUAUCGUGGGUAACAAGAAUUGUCCCCCUCAAAGUUAAGGGGACAUUUAUAUCUAUAGGUAGAAAAUACAGACUAUCAAGAAAGCACUUUCUGGCUGCUUAAAUCUGCUUCUAUAGGUGACCAAUAUCUCCUCACAGACACACCACUGUAAUUAUUAAAUAAUUCAGUAAGUCCAUAAAAUAGAGUCUAAUGUACGGUGUAACUUCGCAAUAGUAUACAGACAUGCAGCUGGGGCAAAUAUAUAUAUAUAUAUAAUUUAUAUAUAUUUCCAAUUUACUGCAUUAGAAUAAUGAAAAAAAAAAACCCAAACACUGAAGCUGAGUGUCUGAGUAUUGGUGGGGAUGUGUGGGGAUUAUCUACUCCAUACUUGCCUUGCCUGCUCAACCGGGGAUAAUUAGCAGUGUAAAGUAUCUACCUUGCUGUUACAAAAACUACAGACAGGUUUGCUGCAGCAAAUUGGACUGCAGUAACUGAUCUGAAUUCGCCUUACCUACCUGAGCAAAAGGUGAGUUUCUUGGUGAAGGUGGCAGCCUAGGACUGAGAGACAGGGGACAGACAAGGCAGGGAAGUGGGAGGUUGCUGCAUUGGGAGCGAACUAGAUCUGGUUCAACUCAUGUGAUCCCUGAAGUCUCUGAAGUUCCCUCUUUUCUAGGAAAAGCUUCACUGCUCCUGUUACCAAGAAAGUUUUUAUAUUAAUGGAAGAAAUGACAUGUCUGAUAGUAAUGACUAUGCUCUGUUUUGCAAUUGUAAACAGUACUUAUUUCUGACUCUUCAAUACUUUGAGAGCAAAAAGGCUUGACACCAUAUUAAGAAACACUGAUAAAAUGAAACUAGUGAGAAAAAACAAGGCUUGUUUAUUCAGGAAGAGUGGAUACAAAGCAAAAAAGGUUAAAUCAUCUGUGCACACCAACUAAUGCAGCUUAAUGUUUUUUAACCUCAGAGAUCCUCAAGGUCUUAAUUGUUAGGUUUGCAACUUUAAAUGUUUUCUGCCAGCAAGCUGAAAUCAAUGUACCCCCAAAUUAGGUUCCAUUAAAUUAACCCUAACCUGACCAGUUCCAGUCUGGGUAUCAAAGUCAAAUUUGCAAAUCAUAUCCUGAAAUGUGGCAUGCAACAUGUAAUGCUCUGUGCUGCUUGACAGAAGAGGAAGAAAACACUUAAAGUGCCUCUUGGGAGUUGUACUGAUGUGAGAGAUGAUACCAGUUGUGUUCUGUGCACUUGUGUUUGUUUGGUGCAUCCUGCAGUUGAGGAGAACAGAUUCAACAGAUCUUGACAGGUUUCUGAAAAAAAAUCUUGUCCAGAAAAGAAGAUCCUCGAAUCCCUAACUCCUUGUCUUACAGGUGAGCCUUGAGGACACCUGGGAGACUGUAGCUUCUGAAUGCAUGACCUUCCUCUGUGAUUAGAAGAAUGGGGAAGGACAAGAAAGAAGAGGCCAUCUUUCUGAGGCAAAAGAUAACUUUGCUGAGGGCUUUCUCGCUCCUCAUCGGCAGCAUGGUUGGCAGUGGCAUCUUUAUCUCCCCAAAAGGAGUACUGAAAAACACUGGCACUGUGGGUUUCUCCCUGGUUGUCUGGUUUGCCUGUGGGCUUCUCUCAAUGUUUGGUGCCUUGUGUUAUGCAGAGCUUGGAACAAGAAUCACCAAGUCUGGAGGACAUUAUAUCUACAUUUUGGAGACGCUAGGGCCUCUGCCAAGCUUCUUAUUCCUGUGGGCAGAGUUUUUUGCUAUCAGGCCUGCCAACAGUGCUGUGGUUGCCUUGGCAUUUGGACGGUACAUGCUGGAGCCAUUCUUUGCCCCCUGUGCAGCCCCUGUCCCUGCAGUGAAGCUUGUGUCUCUCAUGGGGUACUACAUGGUCCUCACCCUCAAUUCCUGGAGUGUCACCUGGAGUGCCCGGCUGCAGACAGCUCUCUCCGUUGUUAAACUCCUGGCUCUUGCACUCAUCAUCGUGCCUGGGAUGAUGCUGCUGGCCCAGGGCCACACUGAAAACUUCCAGGAUGCUUUUGACAGAGAGUCACUGGUUUUGGAUACGCUCCCCCUGGCUUUUUACGCAGGCAUGUUCGCAUAUUCAGGCUGGUUUCAGGCCAGCUUUGUGCGCGAAGAGUUGGUCAGACCUGAACGAAAUAUCCCCCUGGCUGUCAUCAUCUCCGUGAUCACGGUAAUUGUGGGGUACAUGCUCACCAACAUCUCCUAUUACACAGUCCUGGGAACACAAGAUGUUCUGGCUUCUCCUGCUGUGGCUGUGGACUCUGUUUGUGGCUUCCAGGGAAGGACAGUGGCCUCCUCUCUUCUCCAUGAUCCAUAUUCGAAGGCAUACACCCCUUCCUGCUGUCAUGUUAAUGUUCCCUUUGGUCACUGCCAUGGUGUGUGUUGGAGAUAUCUACCAUCUAAUGAACUUCUUCAGCUUUUCCCGAUGGCUCUUCAUAGGAUUAGCCACCCUGGGGCUCAUUGUCCAUCGCCACCGUCACCCGGAGUUGCACAGCCCAUUCAAGGUUCCCCUGUUUGUUCCUGUCUCUUUUACCAUCAUCUGCCUCUUCACAGUGGCUAUGUCUUUCUACUCAGACCCUGUGAGCAUUAGCAUCGGAUGCAUUGCGGUUUUAAGUGGUUUUCCAGUCUACUAUGUCCUAAUUCAUAGGCAGAUGUCAGACCGUUGCCGUAACCUGUUUUAUUAUCUUACACACAAACUACAGUUACUGCUGGAAGUUGUCCAACAAGAAAUCAAGACUUAUUGAGAAAACUAUCAGAACUCACAGGAGAAAAUGAAAUCUACUUACUCCAUUUCUGACACCUUUGAUCCUUCCAAAACCAGGCCAUGCUUUUAUUCUUUUAGUGACUGCAAAUGAGGAUGAACCUGGGCCAAAACCUUGAUGCAAGUGUUCCCAAGCUUGCCAAUUGGGAUUGGGAUGCACGUAUCACAUCUGCUUCUGCCCUUUUCUUUUUUCAGAAGAAAAAACUGGCUCUCUGAAAUGAGUUUGCUUUGGCUACAGUGUCUUUGAAAUCAAGAUCCUAAUUUUGCAGCCUAGCCCGGUCCUAAAUAAAACUGUGUGUGUA